AGUCAGUUGAGCUCAGUCAGUUGAGCAUCUGACUUCAGCUCAGGACAGGACCUCGCAGAUCGUGGGUUCAAGCCCUCUCUCUCUG
rnacentral:tRNA from 1 species